rnacentral:rRNA from 1 species
AAGAUGGCGACCGGCGCACGGGUGAGUAACACGUAUCCAACCUGCCGAUGACUCGGGGAUAGCCUUUCGAAAGAAGGAUUAAUACCCGAUGGCAUAGUUCUUCCGCAUGGUAGAACUAUUAAAGAAUUUCGGUCAUCGAUGGGGAUGCGUUCCAUUAGGUUGUUGGCGGGGUAACGGCCCACCAAACCUUCGAUGGAUAGGGGUUCUGAGAGGAAGGUCCCCCACCAUUGGAACUGAGACACGGUCCAAACUCCUACGGGAGGCAGCAUG